GGUGAACGCUGGCGGUAGGCCUAACACAUGCAAGUCGAACGGCAGCACAGUAAGAGCUUGCUCUUACGGGUGGCGAGUGGCGGACGGGUGAGGAAUACAUCGGAAUCUACUUUUUCGUGGGGGUUAACGUAGGGAAACUUACGCUAAUACCGCAUACGACUUACGGGUGAAAGCAGGGGAUCUUCGGACCUUGCGCGAUUGAAUGAGCCGAUGUCGGAUUAGCUAGUUGGCGGGGUAAAGGCCCACCAAGGCGACGAUCCGUAGCUGGUCUGAGAGGAUGAUCAGCCACACUGGAACUGAGACACGGUCCAGACUCCUACGGGAGGCAGCAGUGGGGAAUAUUGGACAAUGGGCGCAAGCCUGAUCCAGCCAUACCGCGUGGGUGAAGAAGGCCUUCGGGUUGUAAAGCCCUUUUGUUGGGAAAGAAAAGCAGCAGGUUAAUACCCCGCUGUUCUGACGGUACCCAAAGAAUAAGCACCGGCUAACUUCGUG
rnacentral:rRNA from 1 species